rnacentral:rRNA from 1 species
AUGGGGUGCGGCCAGUCCAAGCUGGAGGAGGAGAAGGCGGUGAAGCACUGCCGGGAGCGCUCCGAGCUGCUGGCCCUCGCCAUCCGCCACCGCUACACGCUCGCCGACGCGCACCGCGCCUACGCCGACUCGCUCGGCAGGGUCGGCGUCGCGCUGCACGACUUCGUCCGCGGCGUCCAGACGCUGCCCCCGCCGCCGCCAGAGCCCACGCUCCACCUGCCCCCCGGCAACCGCAAGGGAGACGGCCUGCCCGCCGCCUCGCCCGCCAACAACCCCGCAAUCGCCUCCUCGUCCAACGGCCAGGCGCCGCCGCCCGCCGCCAAGCAGGUCCGCAUCAACCCCGAUGACCAGCACAUCCACUUCCACUCCGACGGGGACUCCGAUUCCGAGGACGGCCACAUCAAGUUCCACUCCGACGACGAGGCCGACCCGGGCCAGCGCCGGCCCGAGAUCGUUCGCUCCGCGGGGGACCCGGGCCAGAGGCCGCCGCCGCAGCAGAUGGGGCCGCCGCCGUAUGGCUCCUCCGCGUACGGCCCGCCGCCGUCGUAUGGUGCUCCUCCGGGGUACGGGUAUGGUGGAUACCCCCCUCCACCUGACUACGGCGGCAUGGGAGGGCCCGGCGGCUAUGACCCGGGCUAUGGCGGCAUGGGGGGCGCCGGAGGCAAUGGACCGGGAUACAGCAGCAUGGGACCACCGCCACCUAGCAGUGUUGGAUACGACCCACCUGGCUACGGCGGCAUUGGUGGCUAUGGCCAGAGCUUCUUCAACAUGAACUAUGCCCGCAGCCAGCCCCCACCACCGUCCGUUUCACACCAGCACCGCCCGGAGGCCACCGACGCCACAGUCCAGACCUUCUUCAACAUCAGCUAUGCGCGUGGCCAGCCCCCGCCGCCGUCCGUAUCGUUUGAGCAACGCCCGGAGGCCAGUGAUGCCACGGUUCAGACCGUCUUCAAUACCAGCUAUGCGCGGGGACAGCCGCCUCCGCCGUCUGGAGCAUACGAGCAACGCCCGCAGGCCAGCGAUGCCAGAGUCCACUAUUAUGGUGACGGCGGCGCGCAGCCACCCCCGCGCGGGUACAAUGGGUAUGCCUCCCCGCCGCAGAGUUCCUAUAACCAGUAUGCCUACGGUGGUUACUAUGGCGGUGCUGCUGCUCCACCUCCGGCAGAUAUGCCAUCCUCCUCCCGCGAGGAAGUCGUGCCACCGCCGCCUCCAUCUCCGCCGAGUGUGUCUACUUGGGAUUUCUUGAACCCAUUUGAGACCUAUGGGAGCUACUAUGACCAGCCAACUGCUGCUCCAGCGCCAUACACUCCCAGCAGGAGUUCCAAAGAUGUGCGCGAGGAGGAGGGCAUCCCCGAUUUGGAGGAUGAGGACAUGGAGGUAGUCAAGGAAGCUUAUGGUGAGGACAAGCACCUGUUGAAUGGGCACACUGGGAAAGGGAAGGCCGCAAAGGAGGAAGGUCGGAGCAGUACUGGGGAUGAACUGCCCCGUGACUCCAAGUCGUCGCUGCCAAGUAGUAGUGGGAGCAGCUUGGAUCAUGAUGUUCAUGUAGUGGAGAAGAGUGUUGUCGGAGAACAGGUGCGGAAUGAAGCACGUCAACAUGUUGCUGGCCUGCCGGGCACAGGAUCAGAGAAGACGUAUGUUGAUGACAAUGAGGUGGUGCUCGAGAUCAAGGCUCAGUUCGAGCGUGCCUCCAGUUCAGCUGGUGAGGUGUCCAAGAUGCUUGAGGUCGGCAAGAUGCCUUACUACCAGAAAGGUUCUGGUUUCAAAGUAUCUGCGAUGAUGAUUUGUGGGAUACCGACAAUGGAGGAGGAGUUCCUGCGGUUCGAAGAGGACAAGGCGAUGGGAUGUGGCAACCUUUCCUCGACACUACAGAAACUAUACAUGUGGGAAAGGAAGCUUCUUCAGGAAGUUAAGGCUGAAGAGGAGGAAAGGCUUAAGUAUGAUAGGAAACGCCAGGACCUGCAAAUAUUAGAUGAGAAAGGUGCAGAAACUGAAAAGAUCGUAGCGGCUGAAAAGGAAAUAAGGAAGUUAUCGACAAGAAUAAGCAUAGCUAUUCAGGUUGUGAACACCAUCUCAGGCAAGAUCAGUAAGCUAAGGGAUGAUGAGUUAUGGCCACAAACAUGUGAGCUCAUUCAAGGGCUGAUGCGGAUGUGGGAUGUUAUGUUAGAAUGCCAUCAGAUCCAGCUGCAUGCCAUAUCCCAAGCUAAAAACAUAGACUCCAUGAUAGAUGCUGCAAGGUUUGGUGAUGAUCACAUGGACUUGAUCAAGCAUCUAGAGCUUCAGCUAUUGGACUGGACUACCUGUUUUGCCGGAUGGGUUACCGCUCAAAAGAACUAUGUUAGUACGUUAAAUGACUGGCUGCGGAAAGGAGUUGAGUAUGUGCCCGAGGAAACGGAUGACGGCGUCCCUCCAUUUUCUCCUGGACGGUUAGGUGCACCGCCCAUCUUUGUGAUAUGUAAUAAUUGGGCAGCCGGCGUGGCGAGGAUAUCCGAGAAGGAAGUCGUCAAGGCAAUGCAAGCCUUUGCGUCCAACGUUCUCCACCUCUGGGAGAAGCACAGGUCACAGCAAAGGCAGGGUAUGAUGGCCAAUAAAGGAAUGGACAGGGACCUGAGAGUGAUGGAAAAGGAUGAACAAAAAAUGCGCAAGGCUCUGGAAGCAAAGAACAAGAAGCUUGUCCUGGUUUCUGAUCAGACAGGCGUGUCCUUGUCCGCACAGGUGUUACACGGCGCAGGCCCCCAAGCCGAAAACAGCAGCCUGCAGUCGAGCUUGAGGAAUAUUUUUGAAGCGAUGGAGACCUUCACUGCUGCUUCCGCAAAUACUUAUAAGGAUCUCAACCUUCGCGCCGAGGAGGAGAAAGCUCGAGUCGCCGAAGAGAGUGGCAGUAGUGUUCCGUAG